rnacentral:tRNA from 1 species
UCCCACUUAGCUCAGAGGUUAGAGCAUUGCAUUUGUAAUGCGAGGGUCAUUGGUUCAAAUCCGAUAGUCGGCU